AGGGAAUCUUCCGCAAUGGGCGAAAGCCUGACGGAGCAACGCCGCGUGAGUGAUGAAGGUCUUCGGAUCGUAAAACUCUGUUAUUAGGGAAGAACAAAUGUGUAAGUAACUAUGCACGUCUUGACGGUACCUAAUCAGAAAGCCACGGCUAACUACGUGCCAGCAGCCGCGGUAAUACGUAGGUGGCAAGCGUUAUCCGGAAUUAUUGGGCGUAAAGCGCGCGUAGGCGGUUUUUUAAGUCUGAUGUGAAAGCCCACGGCUCAACCGUGGAGGGUCAUUGGAAACUGGAAAACUUGAGUGCAGAAGAGGAAAGUGGAAUUCCAUGUGUAGCGGUGAAAUGCGCAGAGAUAUGGAGGAACACCAGUGGCGAAGGCGACUUUCUGGUCUGUAACUGACGCUGAUGUGCGAAAGCGUGGGGAUCAAACAGGAUUAGAUACCCUGGUAGUCCACGCCGUAAACGAUGAGUGCUAAGUGUUAGGGGGUUUCCGCCCCUCAGUGCUGCAGCUAACGCAUUAAGCACUCCGCCUGGGGAGUACGACCGCAAGGUUG
rnacentral:rRNA from 1 species